rnacentral:lncRNA from 1 species
GAAUGUAAUGAGCAGCAGCGAGAAUGACCCAGAAACGCAGUAACGAUCGGCAGCGAGAAAGACCCAGAAACGCAGUAACGAGCAGCAGCGAGAAACAACCCAAAAGCACAAUCGCAACACCUAAGAAUUGUAAUCGACAAUCAGGAAUCGCGAAGAUGAAACCAAGAAUCGAACCGCAACCAGUUAUAGUUGAGAGUUCGCAACGUAAUCACGAAACAAGCAAGUACCAAGAACGGAAGGAACAAUUUUCAAGAGCGACCCAAUGGGAUGUCGUUGAAUAAAGCCAAGAUUAACUAAGAACUCACAGGUUUGAUCGAACCUGCUGAUACCAUGUCACAAUUUAGGGUUUGAUGCCCUUUUUGCUUUGAUAUUUCUC